CUUGGGUUGGGCUGUCUGCAUGCACAUGCUUGAGUCCACUUUCCCAACUCCAGGAAGCUGCUGAUCACUAGUUUCAGGUGUUUUCUAUGUAGCAGGAGAUGGCCUUUCCCUGGCACUGGCUGUGACCAAUUAUUAUUUUAGAGAGACAGUUAACAACGGCCUGACCAUUACUGACCAUUACCUGAUUGUCACCUGACAUUCCUGAUGUGUGUGACAGGAGGUGGGGGGGGAGUGUGAAGUCGGAGAGAGCCCUCUUCUACCCUGCUUAUGCCUGAUGAGCUACCUACUAUAACAAUGGAGUUUCGCUGUUGUUGUCUGGGCUGGAGUGCAAUGGCGCAAUCUCGCCUCACUUCACUGCAUCCUCUGCCUCCUGGGUUCAAGUGAUUCUCCUGCCUCAGCCUCCCAAGUAGCUGGGAUUACAGGCGUGUGCCACCAUGCUUUGCUAAUUUUGUAUUUUUUUUUUUUUAGUAGAGAUGAGGUUUCACCAUGUUGGUCAGGCUAGUCUCAAACUCCUGACCUCAAGUGAUCCACCUGCCUCGGCCUCCUAAAGUGCUGGGAUUACAGAUGUGAGCCACUGUGCCCGGCCUCAUAUCCUUUUAAGGCACCAUCUGGUCUCUUCUAAACUCCCUUGAGUGGUUGAUUGAAGGAAAACAUCUAAGAACAAAUAAUUUU
rnacentral:lncRNA from 1 species